rnacentral:tRNA from 1 species
AAGCCCGUAGCUCAAUGGUAGAGCGUUCGACUCAAAAACCAAAGGUCGCGGGUUUU